AGAGUUUGAUCAUGGCUCAGGACGAACGCUGGCGGCGUGCCUAACACAUGCAAGUCGAGCGGUCCUGCAUUCAACAUUGAGUAUUCAGCAGGCGUUGGAGAUGUAACCAGCGUCAAGCAGAAACGACUAUAUAUUAUAAUUUUUUGAAGUUUCUGCUUCACGCCAAAUCAAGUGCCAACACAAAGGGAGCUGAGUAUUGAAUGUUGAAUGCAGGAUAGCGGCGGACGGGUGAGUAACGCGUGGGCAACCUGCCUCAUACAGGGGGAUAACACAGGGAAACUUGUGCUAAUACCGCAUAAUAUCAUUGGGUGGCAUCACCUGAUGAUCAAAGGAGCAAUCCGGUAUGAGAUGGGCCCGCGUCCGAUUAGUUAGUUGGUGAGGUAACGGCUCACCAAGGCGACGAUCGGUAGCCGAACUGAGAGGUUGAUCGGCCACAUUGGGACUGAGACACGGCCCAGACUCCUACGGGAGGCAGCAGUGGGGAAUAUUGCGCAAUGGGGGAAACCCUGACGCAGCAACGCCGCGUGAAGGAAGAAGGCCUUCGGGUUGUAAACUUCUUUGAUUGGGGACGAAGGAAGUGACGGUACCCAAAAAACAAGCCACGGCUAACUACGUGCCGGCAGCCGCGGUAAUACGUAGGUGGCGAGCGUUGUCCGGAAUUACUGGGUGUAAAGGGCGUGUAGGCGGGGAAGCAAGUCAGAUGUGAAAUUCCGGGGCUCAACCUCGGCGUUGCAUCUGAAACUGUUUUUCUUGAGUGCUGGAGAGGAAAGCGGAAUUCCUAGUGUAGCGGUGAAAUGCGUAGAUAUUAUGAGGAACACCAGUGGCGAAGGCGGCUUUCUGGACAGUAACUGACGCUGAGGCGCGAAAGCGUGGGGAGCAAACAGGAUUAGAUACCCUGGUAGUCACGCCGUAAACGAUGGAUACUAGGUGUAGGAGGU
rnacentral:rRNA from 1 species